CUUUAGUUUUUAAAAGCUAAAAAUCGAUAUUGGGAGUUAUAUUGCGUGUACACAAUAAACAUUACAAUUAAUUUAAAAAAAGAACUAAAAAGGUAAACAUUUGUAAUGUUUUACUAUGAAAAAUGGAUUACAAUAGUCAAUAUAUCGCGUAUAUAGAAGAAUAUAGACGUAUAGUAACAGCAACAGUAAUAGCUACAGUUGCAACAGAGGUUAGAAGACGACGCGCAGCUGUUAUAAUUGCUAUGAGUUCACUAAAAAAGAAAAAAUGUACAAAAAGAAGAAAUAUUGGAUAGCACCUAUUUUCGAAAAUCGUUCCGAACAUAGUUUUUUCUUUGCUUCGGUUCCAAAGUUGGUUUUGGAGGACAUACGAUUCCAUACAAAUUACUUUCGAAUGAGUGCAACUCAAUUAGAAGAACUGUUGGGCAUGAUCGGAUCAAAAUUACAGAAACAGGACGUUGUUCGACAAUCCAUAACACCAGCUGAACGCGAUUGGCAUUAACAUUAAGAUAUCUUGCUUCCGGAGACUCCAUGACAUCGAUGGCUUACCAAUAUCUCGUGGGAGUAACAACAACGAGUAAUAUCAUUCACGAAACUUGUACAGCAAUAUGGGAUUAUUUGAGCCUUGUAGUUCUCCCAGGUAAACUUAAAAAAAAAGAUUGGCUGGAUAUAGCAAAUGAUUUUGAAAAUAAAUGAAAUUUCGCUCAUUGUAUUGGAGCCAUUGAUAGAAAGCAUGUCAUCAUUCAAUCCCAAUAAUAUUGGCUCAACAUAUUUUAAUUACAAAUAUUCUCAUAGUAUAGUUUUAAUGGCUAUCUAUAAUGUGAAUUAUAUAAUUCGGUUUGCGGAUAUUGGGGCAUAUGGACGAAGCGUAUUUUCAAAGACAGCAUCAUAGGGAAAGCAUUUGACGAAGAAUAUUCCACAGCCAAUAGCGAUUGGAGAAAGAGGACCUGUUCUGCCGUACUGUCUUGUUGGAGAUGAAGCUUUCCCUCUAAAACCACAUUUGCUUCGUCCAUAUCCUGGUAGAGAUGGACUCACACGAGAACAGAGCAUAUACAGGGUGAUCCGAAAUUUCCGCAUUUGGAGUACAGGACAUAAUACUUUAUGCUAAA